rnacentral:rRNA from 1 species
CCCGGGCCUUGUACACACCGCCCGUCACGCCAUGGAAGCUGGGGGGACCUAAAGUCGGUGGGCUAACCCAAAAGGAAGCAGCCGCCAAAGGUCAAUUCAGUGACUGGGGCG